rnacentral:rRNA from 1 species
UUGGGAGUGCUCGCAAGAGAACUGGAACACAGGUGCUGCAUGGCUGUCGUCAGCUCGUGUCGUGAGAUGUUGGGUUAAGUCCCGCAACGAGCGCAACCCUUGUCAUUAGUUGCUACGAAAGGGCACUCUAAUGAGACUGCCGGUGACAAACCGGAGGAAGGUGGGGAUGACGUCAAGUCCUCAUGGCCCUUAUGGGUAGGGCUUCACACGUCAUACAAUGGUCGGGACAGAGGGUUGCCAACCCGCGAGGGGGAGCUAAUCUCAUAAACCCGAUCGUAGUCCGGAUUGCAGUCUGCAACUCGACUGCAUGAAGUCGGAAUCGCUAGUAAUCGCGGAUCAGCAUGUCGCGGUGAAUACGUUCCCGGGUCUU